CACUCUCCUCCCGCCUCUGCAGCAUCCGGCUGGUCUCCCUGGCGGCCCAGAAGUUCAUCUCCGACGUGGCCAACGACGCCCUGCAGCACUGCAAGAUGAAGGGCACCGCGUCCGGGAGCUCUCGCAACAAGAGCAAGGACAAGAAGCACACCCUGACCAUGGAGGACCUGGCCCCUGCGCUGGCUGAGUAUGGCAUCAACGUGAAAAAGCCUCACUAUUUCACCUGAAGGCCUCCCCCCCACCCCCGUUCCCCAUUAAAGUCUGUGUCUCUUGG